UGUAGCAGAUGUGGCAGUUACUGACAGAGAAGAGGGUCGGAUCAUUGCCCAUUAGGGGUACUCUUCAUGACUGCGGCGCACAACACAGGAGGGUAUGACCACACGGCUAUUUUUGCCCAGGUAUCCCCAGCACCAGGACACAAAACUUCGAUAGGCCAGAACAGGAUCCCAGAAGAUGACAUUCUGAUUCAUCAACCUGCAGCAUGUGUCAUCAUGUAGCCUGUAUGGAUGUGUGAUGAAAUGGAGAGUUUUUUACUCUUUAACAUUUCAUGUAAUUGUCCAAGUGACUUAUCAUCCAUUGGUUUCUGGUGACAUUGAUAAAAAAGCACUGUACAAACAAUGGGUAGAAGAGAGGACCAUCAUAACAGGAUGUCUCAAGUACUGACCUAUAAUUACAGGUUAUUGUUUGUGUUCAGAUAAAUUUCCUUAUUGAUCUUUUUCACCAUCAUAUACAGUAUCUCAUGGGACAACACUAUAGAAAUGACAAUUUGAUAUAACUUAAAGUAGUCAGUGUACAGCUUGUGUAGUAGCAUAGAUUUACCUUCCUCUGAAAAUGACUCAAAACACAGCCAUCAACAUCUAAACAGCUGGCAACAUAAGUGAGUACACCCCACAGUGAACAUGUCCAAAUUGUGCCUGAAGUGUCAGUAUUUUGUGUGCCAGCCAUUAUUAUCUAGCACUGCCUGAACCCUUUUGGGCAUGGAAUUCACCAGAGGUCACAGGUUGCUUCAGGAAUCCUCUCCCACUCCUUCAUGAUGACGUCAUGGAGCAGAUGGAUGUGAAGACACCUUGCGCUACCCCACCUUCAGCUUGAGGAUGGCCCACAGGUGCACAGGUGAGUUUAGGGCUGGAUACAUACUUGGCCAGUCCAUCACCUUCACCUUCAGCUUCCUCAGCAAGGUGGUUGUCAUCCACUAGGUGUGUUUGGGUCAUUAUCAUGUUGGAAAACUGCAUUGCGGCUCAGUUUCUGAAGAGGGGCGAUCAUGCUCUGCUUGGAAUUCAUGUUUCCCUAAAUGAACCGAGCUCCC